rnacentral:miRNA from 1 species
CAAAUAGGACUGGAGAGAUG